rnacentral:rRNA from 1 species
AGAGUUUGAUCCUGGCUCAGAACAACGCUGGCGGCGGGCCUCAUACAUGCAAGUCGCACGAUUAAAGCUCCCUUCGGGGAGUGUAUAAAGUGGCAAACGGGUGAGUAACAGGUGGAUAAUCUGCCCUUUGGCGGGGGAUAACGGUUGGAAACGACCUCUAAUACCGCAUGUGAUUGCUUUUCCUCCGGGUUUAGCAAAGAAAGGCGCUUCACGGCGCCGCCAAAGGAUGAGUCCGCCCCCCAUUAGCUAGUUGGUAAGGUAAUGGCUUACCAAGGCUUCGAUGGGUAGCCGAGCUGAGAGGCUGAUCGGCCACACUGGGACUGAGAUACGGCCCAGACACCUACGGGUGGCAGCAGUAGGGAAUAUUGCGCAAUGGACGAAAGUCUGACGCAGCCAUGCCGCGCGAGUGAUGAAGGCCUUCGGGUCGUAAAGCUCUUUUCUGAGGGAAGAACAUCCAGUGCAGGAAAUGGCACUGGCUUGACGGUACCUCAGGAAUAAGGAGCGGCUAACUCCGUGCCAGCAGCCGCGGUAAUACGGAGGCUCCUAGCGUUGUUCGGAAUUACUGGGCGUAAAGGGAGCGCAGGCGGAAUGAUUAGUCUGAAGUGGAAGUCCGGGGCUCAACCUCGGAAGUGCUUCGGAUACUAUCAUUCUUGAGAUCGUGAGAGGAAAGCGGAAUUCAGGGUGUAGCGGUGAAAUGCUUAGAUAUCCUGAGGAACACCAAUGGCGAAAGCAGCUUUCUGGCACUGAUCUGACGCUGAGGCUCGAAAGCGUGGGUAGCGAACGGGAUUAGAUACCCCGGUAGUCCACGCCGUAAACGUUGUCAACUAGGUGCGAGAGGUAUCGACCCCUUUCGUGCCGAAGCUAACGCAUUAAGUUGACCGCCUGGGGAGUACGCGCGCAAGCGUGAAACUCAAAGGAAUUGACGGGGGCCCGCACAAGCGGUGGAGCAUGUGGUUUAAUUCGAGGCAACGCGAAGAACCUUACCCAGGCUUGACAUCCCGUGACCGCCAUGGAAACAUGGUUUUCCCUUCGGGGACACGGUGACAGGUGUUGCAUGGCUGUCGUCAGCUCGUGUCGUGAGAUGUUGGGUUAAGUCCCGCAACGAGCGCAACCCCUAUCCUUAGUUACCAGCACGUUAUGGUGGGCACUCUAAGGACACUGCCGGUGAUAAGCCGGAGGAAGGUGGGGACGACGUCAAGUCAUCAUGGCCCUUACGCCUGGGGCCACACACGUGCUACAAUGGCCGGUACAAUGAGCUGCAAAGCCGCGAGGUGGAGCGAAUCUCAAAAAGCCGGUCUCAGUUCGGAUAGGAGUCUGCAAUUCGACUCCUUGGAGUCGGAAUCGCUAGUAAUCGCGUAUCAGCUACGACGCGGUGAAUACGUUCCCGGGCCUUGUACACACCGCCCGUCACAUGACCCGAGUCGGGUGCACCCG